rnacentral:rRNA from 1 species
GACGAACGCUGGCGGCGUGCUUAACACAUGCAAGUCGAACGGAAAGGCCCUUCGGGGUACUCGAGUGGCGAACGGGUGAGUAACACGUGGGUGAUCUGCCCUGCACUUUGGGAUAAGCCUGGGAAACUGGGUCUAAUACCGAAUAGGACCACGCGCUUCAUGGUGUGUGGUGGAAAGCUUUUGCGGUGUGGGAUGGGCCCGCGGCCUAUCAGCUUGUUGGUGGGGUAAUGGCCUACCAAGGCGACGACGGGUAGCCGGCCUGAGAGGGUGACCGGCCACACUGGGACUGAGAUACGGCCCAGACUCCUACGGGAGGCAGCAGGGGGGAAUAUUACACAAUGGGCGCAAGCCUGAUGCAGCGACGCCGCGUGAGGGAUGACGGCCUUCGGGUUGUAAACCUCUUUCAAUAGGGACGAAGCGCAAGUGACGGUACCUAUAGAAGAAGCACCGGCCAACUACGUG